GACGAACCGUGCGAACGUUAUUCGGAAUCACUGGGCUUAAAGCGCGUGUAGGCGGGCCGCCGCGUCGGCUGCUGAAAUCCCCCGGCUCAACCGGGGAACGGGCACCGAUACGGGCGGCCUGGAGGGGGGUAGGGGGGCCUGGAACUUCCGGUGGAGCGGUGAAAUGCGUUGAGAUCGGAAGGAACGCCCGUGGCGAAAGCGAGGCCCUGGACCCUUACUGACGCUGAGGCACGAAAGCUAGGGGAGCAAACAGG
rnacentral:rRNA from 1 species